AUGAGCAUUCAAGACAAUCACGUGGUUAGUUUAAUUUUUUCUUGGCCCCGUCGUUUGUUUUUUCACCCUCCAUUUCCACAUUUGCUUUCUUUCACUAGAGUUGGAUUCCAUUUGCGAGAACAUCGAGAGAUCUUUUUAGUCAAAUGUACGUCUGACCCACUUGCCUAAUUAGCUAACUUUCACUAUUUACCAUGGCAAACUUUUCUUUUUAAUGUAAGUCAAGCCACUGUACAAUAAAUUCAAGCUUCUUAAUUGAAUGAACAAGUGUAAUCAAUAAAAGUUCAUUAGCUUAUGUAGUAAGUGUUCAUUGAUUGAUUACACAUCUACAGUGUCAUUACAUUAUUAGAUGUGAGAACUUACCAAUCCUAAUGUAUAUUAAGAAUCAUCCAAAUAAAAUGCUAGUUCAAG
rnacentral:misc_RNA from 1 species